GACAGAGGAUGCAAGCGUUAUCCGGAAUGAUUGGGCGUAAAGAGCUCGUAGGCGGUGUGUCGCGUCGGCCGUGAAAACCUGCAGCUUAACUGUGGGCUUGCGGUCGAUACGGGCAUCACUGGAGUUCGGCAGGGGAGACUGGAAUUCCGUGGUGUAGCGGUGAAAUGCGCAGAGUAUCAAGGAGGAACACCGGUGGCGAAGGCGGGUCUCUGGGCCGGAUACUGACGCUGAGGAGCGAAAGCGUGGGGAGCGAACAGG
rnacentral:rRNA from 1 species